rnacentral:RNase_P_RNA from 3 species
UCAGUCGGCUGGAUGGCCGCUGCUCUCACGAGCAGAGGAAAGUCCGGGCUCCACGGAGACACGGCGCCGGAUAAGGUCCGGCGGGGGCGACCCCAGGGAAAGCGCCACAGAAAGCAAACCGCCGCCAUCCUUCGGGCCGGCGGCAAGGGUGAAAGGGUGCGGUAAGAGCGCACCGCUCGGGCGGCGACGUCCGAGGCAUGGCAAGCCCCGCCGGGAGCAAGACCGAAUAGGGGCGAAUUCGGAAGCAGCGAUGUUUCCACGGCCUGUCUCCGGGCCGUCGCCCGGGUUGGUCGCUAGAGGCGGCACGCAAUUGCCGUCCCAGAGGAAUGGCCAUCGCGCGCGGGGAAACCCGCGCCUUACAGAACCCGGCUUACAGGCCGGCUGGCUCG